rnacentral:rRNA from 1 species
CCUACGGGUGGCAGCAGUCGAGAAUCAUUCACAAUGGGGGAAACCCUGAUGGUGCGACGCCGCGUGGGGGAAUGAAGGUCUUCGGAUUGUAAACCCCUGUCAUGUGGGAGCAAAUUAAAAAGAUAGUACCACAAGAGGAAGAGACGGCUAACUCUGUGCCAGCAGCCGCGGUAAUACAGAGGUCUCAAGCGUUGUUCGGAAUCACUGGGCGUAAAGCGUGCGUAGGCUGUUUCGUAAGUCGUGUGUGAAAGGCGCGGGCUCAACCCGCGGACGGCACAUGAUACUGCGAGACUAGAGUAAGGGAGGGGGAACCGGAAUUCUCGGUGUAGCAGUGAAAUGCGUAGAUAUCGGGAGGAACACUCGUGGCGAAGGCGGGUUCCUGGACAUUAACUGACGCUGAGGCACGAAGGCCAGGGGAGCGAAAGGGAUUAGAUACCCGGGUAGUC